GCUCCUGUAGCUCAGUAGGUUUAGAGCGUGGUGCUUAUAGGGGUGAUCCUCCUAUGCUACGCCAAGGUCGGGUGUUCGAUCCUCCCCUGGAGCA